AUGGCUUGGCGUUCUCCCUCCCUCUCCCAACAUGGCGCCUCAGCAAAAAAGAAGAAUAAGAAGGGGAAGACUAUCUCCCUAACAGACUUUCUGGCUGAGGAUGGAGGGACUGGUGGAGGAAGCACCUAUUCCCCAAACCAGUCAGCUGGGCUGAUGAAACAGAUGACCUGGAAGGAGAUGUUUCAACCACUUGGCACAGUAAUGAUGAUGAUGUGUACAGGGCACCUCCAACUGACCGUUCCAUCCUUCCCACUGCUCCACGGGCUGCUGGGGAACCCAAUAUUGACUGGAGCCGUCUUCCCAAAUCGCCACCCUACACUGCUUUUCUAGGGAACCUGCCCUAUGAUGUGACAGAAGACUCCAUUAAGGAAUUCUUUAGAGGAUUAAAUAUCAGUGCAGUGCGCUUACCACGUGAACCCAGCAAUCCAGAGAGGUUGAAAGGUUUUGGCUAUGCUGAGUUUGAGGACCUGGACUCCCUGCUCAGUGCCCUGAGUCUCAGUGAAGAGUCUCUAGGUAACAGGAGAAUUCGAGGGGAUGUUGCUGAUCAAGCACAGGAUAAAGACAGGGAUGAUCCUUCUUUUGGCCGAGAUAGAAAUCGGGAUUCUGACAAAACAGACACCGACUGGAGAGCCCGACCUGCCACAGACAGCUUUGACGACUCUCUGCCUAGAAGAGGUGAUGACAGCUUUAGAUGGCUAUGAUUCCAACUGAUAUCGGGAUGGAUAUGGAGAUGGAUAUCGUGAUGGCCCAUGCCGGGAUAUGGAUGGAUAUGGGUGCCGGGAUCGCUAUGAUGACCGAGGCAGCAGAGAUUAUGAUAGAGACUAUGAUUACAGGAUAGGCAGUGGCAGAAGAGCAUUUGGUAGUGGGUACCAAAGGGAUGAUGAGUACGGAGGACGUGGGGACCAUUAUGAAGACCGAUAUGACAGAUGAGAUGAGCUCCAGAGAUGAUUACUCUCGGGAUGAUUACAGACAUGAUGAUAGAGGUCCCCCCCCCCCCCCCCGCCCAAAGACCCAAACUGAAUCUAAAGCCUCGGAGUACACCUAAGGAAGAUGAUUCCUCUGCUAGCACCUCCCAGUCCAGUGGAGCAGCUUCUAUCUUUGGAGGGGCAAUACCUGUUGACACAGCUGCUAGAGAAAGAGAAGUAGAAGAACGGCUACAGAAGGAGCAGGAGAAACUGCAGUGCCAGUUGGAUGAGCCAAAACUAGAACGGCGGCCUAGGGAGAGACACCCAAGCUGGCCAAGUGAAGAAACUCGGGAACCGGAACGGUCAAGGACAGGAAGUCAUCACAGACUGGAACCUCAGCCACACCUGGCAGAAAUGCACGAAGGAGAGAGAGAAGUCUCUAGAAAAUGAAAUACUCAAUAAGGAGGAAGACUGUCACUCUCCAACUUCUAAGCCUCCCAAACCUGAUCAGCCUCUAAAGGUAAUGCGAGCCCCUCCACCAAAGGAGAAUGCGUGGGUGAAGCAAAGUUCUAACCCUCCUGCUCCAUCUCAGAGCUCAGACACAGAGCAGGAAUCCCCCACAAGUGGUUGGGGGGAAAGUAGCUCCAGCUCAGCCAUCUGAGGAAGGACCCACAAGGAAAGACGAUAAUAAAAUAGAUGGAAUGAAUGUCCCAAAAGGCCAAACUGGGAACUCCAGCGGUGGUCUAGGAGAUGGAGGGAACAAGAUAGGAAAGAGGGCAAAAAGGAUCAAGACUCCAGAUCUGCACCUGAGCCAAAGAAACCUGAGGAAAAUCCAACCUCUAAGUUCAGUUCUGCAAGCAAGUAUGCCGCUCUCUCUGUGGAUGGUGAAGAUGAAAUGAGGGAGAAGACUACAUUGAGUAGACCUCUGCGUCCUGUGCUUUCUCCUAGUCUCUCCACCCUGGAACAUUUAAGAGCAAAUCAAACCUCUAUCCACACAAGACAAAUAAAACUCACCAUCUCCUGGAGACCUUUCUUAACUUUUUUUAAAAAAUGAAAUGAGAUUCUUUUGCAUGCAGCUGCAGCCUUUAAAGUAUUGAAGUUACUGGAGA